UUGAUAAAGUUUUUUACUUUUUUUUUGAGAUAUUAACCAAUAAUAAAAAGAGCAUGUGAUGUCUUAAAGAAGACAGUUGAGUCAACAAUAGGAAAAUAUGAAUGAAAAUGAAUAUGAAGGAUACAAUAAGCAUAACUUUGUCUUGUUUUUGUCACUUGUACUUAAUGGGUAAAAUCAUAGUUCAACUUGACAAAAACUAUAACUAGUUCCACAAUUAGUUUAAUGUACAUGUUUAUUGAUCACUUGUAUGCAACUAUUUUUUGAUAAUAUUCUUUCAUCUAGAUAAAACCUUUCUAGUUCUGGUAUCUUCUUUCGAUUUGCCUUAAUUCCUUUUAAAUCAAAUUCCUUUUGAAAUAAUGUAAACUUUGAUAGUAACACAUAUACUCAGAAUCUUGUUAGCUCUCACGCUUGUCUUUUAUAUGAAUGUGUCUAAAUAGUUUGUGAAAUGUGAGAGUAAUUUAUAAAUUAUUAUUUGCCUCCAUUAUAAGUGAUGUGACAUUUUUUUAUAUAAUCGAAACAAAUAUAUAGCUAAGAACGUACAUUCUUUUAAUUAUUAACAAGUUUCAUUUUACUAAUUGAUAAGGAAAUACGUGAACUGGCAAAAUAUUCAUUUGUGUUGGUAGGAGUGGAUUUGGUAAUGCCAUAUAUGUGGCUUACGUAUUGAAUCGCUUUUGUAAUUCAUUACAUCACAAAUUUUUGUAAUUCAUUACAUCACCAAUACCAUACACUUUUACCUGUUGUGGCAAAGGUUGUUUUGGUUUUCACAUUGUGGAAAUCUGUUUGGGACAUUUACCCAUAAAAGGUGGAAGAAGAAUAAGAGUGGAACUCGAAGGGGUUCGGUAUGAAUUAUUUUAGGGUAAUCAAAUAAGUAUAUUAACUAAAUUAAUCAAGGUUUUGUUUUUAAGUUAGUAUUAAACAAAAGGUGAAAAAUAAGCACACAAAAAAAUAUAUAAGUUGGUUAAUUGAUUCUUAUAUACUACUUAAUUUUUAACUUUAUAGGAGUUCCUUGAUAUUCCUGCAAUCCCCUUUCUUUGCUCUCCUCGUCUUAUGUUGGUUUCUCAAGAUUCUCAAUACUAUGUAUGGUAAAUUAUAAACAAAUAACUCAUCAUUUUGUCACUAUAUUACACUAUAAACAAACAUUAGUGAUUUUGUAUGUAAAAUUCCCAAGCCAUUUAAUUUAUACUUUUUAUAUAAAUAAUUGAAGCUAUGGAGGAACUUCACCCUCUUCUGAUUGAGAUUACAAAAAUAUUUUAUACAAUGUUUAUUGAAAUAGAACAUCAAUUUAGGCUUAGUGUCUUCAUAAACAAAUAACAGAACAACAGUCUUUUGGAUGGAUAAUUAUUCUUUUUAGAUAAUAGUUUUUAUGAAAACAAUUCAUCAAUUACAGGAUUCUAAAAAUAUCGUUAGAGUUGUAUAAUGAUCAUCACAUAAUAUUAUGGUAAGUUAUAGUAAUUUGAAAAAAUUACAAAUAUAAUUUUUGUAAAAUUUAAUGUCAUACCAAAGAUACACUCAAUUGGUUUGAUGAUGUAAUGGAUAAAGUAAACAUAAAAAAAUAAAAAAAAAUAAAAAAAGACAAAUUUUGAAUGACAAAAACGAUACAAUACGUAGACCACAUAUAUGACAUUACUAAAAAAACUCCUACCAACUCAAACGAAUGUUUUUCACUUGGUUGACGUAAUUUCUUAUCAAUUAGUAAAAUGAAACUUGUAUAAUUAAAAGAAUGUAUGUUCUUAGCUAUAUACUUGUUCCAAUUAUAUCAAAUAAUGUUACAUCACUUGCAAUCGAGACUAAGAAUAAUUUAUAAAUUACUUUCACAAUUCACAAACUAUUUAGACACAUUUAUAUAAAAGAUAAUUGUAAGAGCUGACAAAAUUCUGAGUAUAUGUGUGAGUGUCAAAGUUCACAUCCUUUCAAAAGAAAUUUAAUUUAAAAGGAAUUAAAGUCAAUCGAAAAAAGAUACCAAACUUGAAAUGUUUAAUCUAAAAGAAAUAAUACAUUAAACUGAUUGUGGAAGUGGAGAAGCAGUAAGCACCUCAAGCAUGUUUAAUGCAUAAGUUAUAGUUUUUGUUAAGUUGAACUAUGAUUCUACCCAUUAAGUGCAGGUGAUGCAUGUUACAUAAUACUUCACAUUCAUUUCAUUCAUAUUUGCCUAUUGUUGACUCAACCGUCUUCUUUAAGACAUCACAUGUUCUUUUUCAGAUUGGUUAAUAUCUCCAGAAAAAAAUUUAAAAUUGGUUAAUAUCUCCAGAAUGAAAAAACAAACCAUUUUUCAUUAAACUAUGGAUAACAAACAUAAAUGAGGUAUAGACUAGACAAACCUUUGAUUCUUUUAAAAUAAAAAAUCAAACAAUAAAACCUUAUAAAUACCUUAUUAUAUUUCACUUUCUCUUAUCAUAUCCUAUCAAUCCAGUGAACGCUUAAAAGUUGAGUCAUAAAAAUUUUAAAAAUAUAGUUGUAAAUUAUAUAAUUGAGAACGUGUUUUACAACCGUGGCAGUAACGUUCAUCUACCACAUAAGGAUGACUCAUUUUGGCGGAGACACAGAUGUUAACCCCAUGUAUUAUAGUUUCGAUUGGCGCAACUUAUUAAUGGUAUUAGGACUUAUGUUAAUAUCUCUAUUUAUUAUAUUUUGUGUAUGGAAAAUAUGCUCUUUAUAUUUAUAUAUUAAAAAGUGUCUUAUUGGUCGAGCACGAUGUAGGACAUACCGUGAGCAGGCGAAUGGGUUCAUAUAUAACUCAUCCACCACUCUUGAAUUUGAAUUAACUAGUUGUCAAAUAUGUUUAGAGAAUUUUCAACAUAAUGAAAAAAUUCAUAAACUAUCGUGUGAACAUACAUUUCAUGAGAUAUGUAUAUUAAAACAUAUAUUUGAAUAUAAUAUUUGCCCUUUAUGUAGGGCAAAUAUUGUAGGUUAGAUUUUAGUAUAUAUAAUUUUAUUAAAUAAAUAUCACUUCAUGUAUUCAUGUAUUUUUUCUAAAUAAAUGUUUGACAGAA